rnacentral:rRNA from 1 species
GACGAACGCUGGCGGCGUGCCUAAUACAUGCAAGUCGAACGAACCGCGACUAAGUGCUUGCACUAAGUCAAGGUGAGUGGCGAACGGGUGAGUAACACGUGGGUAACCUACCUCAUAGUGGGGGAUAACAGUCGGAAACGACUGCUAAUACCGCAUAGGACAUAGGAUCACAUGAUCCAGUGAGGAAAGGUGGCGCAAGCUAUCGCUAAGAGAUGGACCCGCGGUGCAUUAGCUAGUUGGUAGGGUAAAGGCCUACCAAGGCGAUGAUGCAUAGCCGACCUGAGAGGGUGAUCGGCCACAUUGGGACUGAGACACGGCCCAAACUCCUACGGGAGGCAGCAGUAGGGAAUCUUCCGCAAUGGGCGCAAGUCUGACGGAGCAACGCCGCGUGAGUGAAGAAGGUCUUCGGAUCGUAAAGCUCUGUUGUUAGAGAAGAACAGCGCAUAGAGUAACUGCUAUGCGUGUGACGGUAUCUAACCAGAAAGCCACGGCUAACUACGUG